GACGAACGCUGGCGGCGUGCUUAACACAUGCAAGUCGAGCGGUAAGGCCCUUUCGGGGGUACACGAGCGGCGAACGGGUGAGUAACACGUGGGUGACCUGCCCUCAGCUCUGGGAUAAGCCUGGGAAACCGGGUCUAAUACUGGAUAUGACUCCAUGACGCAUGUUGUGGGGUGGAAAGCCUUGUGCGGCUGAGGAUGGGCCCGCGGCCUAUCAGCUUGUUGGUGGGGNGAUGGCCUACCAAGGCGACGACGGGUAGCCGGCCUGAGAGGGCGACCGGCCACACUGGGACUGAGACACGGCCCAGACUCCUACGGGAGGCAGCAGUGGGGAAUCUUGCGCAAUGGGCGAAAGCCUGACGCAGCGACGCCGCGUGAGGGAUGACGGCCUG
rnacentral:rRNA from 1 species